GUGUCAGCAGCCGCGGUAAAACCAGCACCUCAAGUGGUCAGGAGGAUUAUUGGGCCUAAAGCAUCCGUAGCCUGUUCUGUAAGUUUUCGGUUAAAUCCAUUAGCUCAACUAAUGGGCUGCCGAAAAUACUGUAGAACUAGGGAGUGGGAGAGGUAGACGGUAUUCGGUAGGAAGGGGUAAAAUCCUUUGAUCUAUUGAGGACCACCUGUGGCGAAGGCGGUCUACCAGAACACGUUCGACGGUGAGGGAUGAAAGCUGGGGGAGCAAACCGGAUUAGAUACCCGGGUAGUCCCAGCUGUAAACGAUGCAGACUCGGUGAUGCCCUGGCUUGUGGCCAGUGCAGUGCCGCAGGGAAGCCGUUAAGUUUGCCGCCUGGGAAGUACGUACGCAAGUAUGAAACUUAAAGGAAUUGGCGGGGGAGCACCACAAGGGGUGAAGCCUGCGGUUCAAUUGGAGUCAACGCCAGAAAUCUUACCCGAAGAGACAGCAGAAUGAAGGUCAAGCUGGAGACUUUACCAGACAAGCUGAGAAGUGGUGCAUGGCCGUCGCCAGCUCGUGCCGUGAGAUGUCCUGUUAAGUCAGGUAACGAGCGAGAUCCCUGCCUCUAGUUGCCACCAUUACUCUCAGGAGUAGUGGGGCGAAUUAGCGGGACCGCCGCAGUUAAUGCGGAGGAAGGAAGGGGCCACGGCAGGUCAGUAUGCCCUGAAACUUUGGGGCCACACGCGGGCUGCAAUGGUAGCGACAAUGGGUUCCGAAUCCGAAAGGAGGAGGCAAUCCUCAAACGCUACCACAGUUAUGAUUGAGGGCUGCAACUCGCCCUCAUGAAUAUGGAAUCCCUAGUAACUGCGUGUCAUUACCGCGCAGUGAAUACGUCCCUGCUCCUUGCACACACUGCCCGUC
rnacentral:rRNA from 1 species